AUUUAAAUAGUUUAAAAAAAAAUAAUAAUUUGUGGGAUUAUAGAUAUAUAUAUAUUGUUAAAAUAUUUUAAAUU
rnacentral:tRNA from 1 species